rnacentral:snRNA from 1 species
AUACCUACCUGGCAGGGGAGAUACCAUGAUCACCAAGGUGACUUUCCCAUGGCGAGGCUUAUCCAUUACACUCCAGAUGUGGUGACCCCUGGGAUUUCCCCAAAUGUGGGAAACUCGACUACAUCAUUUGUGGUCGUGGGGGACUGUGUUCGCGCUCUCCCCGG